rnacentral:misc_RNA from 1 species
GAUGAAGAACGCAGUGAAAUGCGAUAAGUAAUGUGAAUUGCAGAAUUCAGUGAAUCAUCGAAUCUUUGAACGCACAUUGCGCCCGCCAGUAUUCUGGCGGGCAUGCCUGUUCGAGCGUCAUUUCAACCAUCAAGCCCCAGGCUUGUGUUGGGGACCUGCGGCUGCCGCAGGCCCUGAAAACCAGUGGCGGGCUCGCUGUCACACCGGGCGUAGUAGAUUUUAUCUCGCUCAGGGCGUGCUGCGGGUUCCGGCCGUUAAAAAGCCUUUUUUACCCAAGAUUGACCUCGGAUCAGGUAGGAAGACCCGCUGAACUUAAGCAUAUCAAUAAGCGGAGGA